rnacentral:rRNA from 1 species
CACGUAGGGCGCGAGCGUUGUCCGGAUUUAUUGGGCGUAAAGAGCUCGUAGGCGGCUUGUCGCGUCGUCCGUGAAAACUUGGGGCUCAACCCCAAGCUUGCGGUCGAUACGGGCAGACUAGAGUUCGGCAGGGGAGACUGGAAUUCCUGGUGUAGCGGUGAAAUGCGCAGAUAUCAGGAGGAACACCGGUGGCGAAGGCGGGUCUCUGGGCCGAUACUGACGCUGAGGAGCGAAAGCGUGGGGAGCGAACAGG